AGUCGAACGCGAAAGUCCCGCAAGGGAUGAGUAGAGUGGCAAACGGGUGAGUAACGCGUGGGUGACCUGCCUUCGAGUGGGGGAUAACGUUUCGAAAGGAACGCUAAUACCGCAUGACAUCCUGCCUUUUAACAGGCGGAGAUCAAAGCCGGGGAUCGCAAGACCUGGCGCUUGAAGAGGGGCCCGCGUCCGAUUAGCUAGUUGGUGGGGUAACGGCUCACCAAGGCAACGAUCGGUAGCCGGCCUGAGAGGGCGGACGGCCACACUGGGACUGAGACACGGCCCAGACUCCUACGGGAGGCAGCAGUAGGGAAUUGUUCGCAAUGGGCGCAAGCCUGACGACGCAACGCCGCGUGGAGGAUGAAGACCUUCGGGUCGUAAACUCCUUUCGAUCGAGACGAAUGGCCUCCGGGUGAACAAUCCAGAGGAAUGACGGUACCGAGAGAAGAAGCCCCGGCUAACUCCGUGCCAGCAGCCGCGGUAAUACGGGGGGGGCAAGCGUUGUUCGGAAUUACUGGGCGUAAAGGGCUCGUAGGCGGCCAACUAAGUCAGACGUGAAAUCCCUCGGCUUAACCGGGGAACUGCGUCUGAUACUGGAUGGCUUGAGAUUGGGAGAGGGAUGCGGAAUUCCAGGUGUAGCGGUGAAAUGCGUAGAUAUCUGGAGGAACACCGGUGGCGAAGGCGGCAUCC
rnacentral:rRNA from 1 species